CAAGUCGAACGAGAAAGUGGAGCAAUCCAUGAGUACAGUGGCGUACGGGUGAGUAACACGUGGGUAAUCUACCUCUUAGUGGGGAAUAACCAGGGGAAACUCUGGCUAAUACCGCAUAAGCCUGAGAAGGGAAAGCAGCAAUGCGCUGAGAGAGGAGCCCGCGGCCGAUUAGCUAGUUGGUGGGGUAAGAGCCCACCAAGGCAGAGAUCGGUAGCCGGCCUGAGAGGGCACACGGCCACACUGGCACUGAAACACGGGCCAGACUCCUACGGGAGGCAGCAGUGGGGAAUCUUGCACAAUGGGGGAAACCCUGAUGCAGCGACGCCGCGUGAGCGAUGAAGCCCUUCGGGGUGUAAAGCUCUUUCGUCAGGGACGAUAAUGACGGUACCUGGAGAAGCAGCUGCGGCUAACUACGUGCCAGCAGCCGCGGUAAUACGUAGGCAGCAAGCGUUGUUCGGAGUUACUGGGCGUAAAGGGUGUGUAGGCGGUUCUUUAAGUUUGGUGUGAAAUCUCCCGGCUCAACUGGGAGGGUGCGCCGAAUACUGAGGGACUAGAGUACGGGAGAGGAAAGUGGAAUUCCUGGCGUAGCGGUGAAAUGCGUAGAUAUCAGGAGGAACACCGGUGGGUGUAGACGGCUUUCUGGACCGUAACUGACGCUGAGACACGAAAGCGUGGGUAGCAAACAGGAUUAGAUACCCUGGUAGUCCACGCCCUAAACGAUGCAUAUUUGGUGUGGGCAGUUCAUUCUGUCCGUGCCGGAGCUAACGCGUUAAAUAUGCCGCCUGGGGAGUACAGUCGCAAGGCUGAAACUCAAAGGAAUUGACGGGGGCCCGCACAAGCGGUGGAACAUGUGGUUCAAUUCGACGCACCGCGAAGAACCUUACCUGGGCUCGAACGGCUUCUCAACGCCCGUAGAAAUACUGUUACC
rnacentral:rRNA from 1 species